GACGAACGCUGGCGGCGUGCCUAAUACAUGCAAGUUGAGCGCUGAAGGUUGGUACUUGUACCAACUGGAUGAGCAGCGAACGGGUGAGUAACGCGUGGGGAAUCUGCCUUUGAGCGGGGGACAACAUUUGGAAACGAAUGCUAAUACCGCAUAAAAACUUUAAACACAAGUUUUAAGUUUGAAAGAUGCAAUUGCAUCACUCAAAGAUGAUCCCGCGUUGUAUUAGCUAGUUGGUGAGGUAAAGGCUCACCAAGGCGAUGAUACAUAGCCGACCUGAGAGGGUAAUCGGCCACAUUGGGACUGAGACACGGCCCAAACUCCUACGGGAGGCAGCAGUAGGGAAUCUUCGGCAAUGGACGAAAGUCUGACCGAGCAACGCCGCGUGAGUGAAGAAGGUUUUCGGAUCGUAAAACUCUGUUGGUAGAGAAGAACGUUGGUGAGAGUGGAAAGCUCAUCAAGUGACGGUAACUACCCAGAAAGGGACGGCUAACUACGUG
rnacentral:rRNA from 1 species